CCCAAGGUCCUCUAGUGUGUUCUGUAUGCACUGAGGCCUGGCAGCAACUGGAUUUUGUUGAUAAUAUAGAUGCAGUAUGGACAUAGAGUCCUGCAACAUUAACAGAGACAGACAGUUAAUCUGGAAAUCAAGAUAUCCACCAGGUAUACUGCAGUUCCACACUGGAAAAUACCAUUUUAGAAGGCUGAGAUCUUAUCCCGCUAUUGUGAACUGAUCAAUUGUGGAAGCCAAAUGGUGAUGGACGGGGAAUUUGGAGGAGGCAAAAUUCAAAAA